CGGGUGUAGUUCAGCGGUAGAACGUCAGCUUCCCAAGCUGAAUGUCGUCGGUUCGAGUCCGAUCACCC
rnacentral:tRNA from 1 species